GAUGAACGCUGGCGGCGUGCUUAACACAUGCAAGUCGAACGGUGAAGGCGGAGCUUGCUCUGCUGGAUCAGUGGCGAACGGGUGAGUAACACGUGAGCAAUCUGCCCCUGACUCUGGGAUAAGCGCUGGAAACGGCGUCUAAUACUGGAUACGAGCUGCGAAGGCAUCUUCAGCAGCUGGAAAGAACUUCGGUCAGGGAUGAGCUCGCGGCCUAUCAGCUUGUUGGUGAGGUAACGGCUCACCAAGGCGUCGACGGGUAGCCGGCCUGAGAGGGUGACCGGCCACACUGGGACUGAGACACGGCCCAGACUCCUACGGGAGGCAGCAGUGGGGAAUAUUGCACAAUGGGCGGAAGCCUGAUGCAGCAACGCCGCGUGCGGGACGACGGCCUUCGGGUUGUAAACCUCUUUUAGCAGGGAAGAAGCGAAAGUGACGGUACCUGCAGAAAAAGCGCCGGCUAACUACGUG
rnacentral:rRNA from 1 species